UUGAACAUCGUUUUUUUCUAACAUAAUUUUAGGUUUGUUCAAUUGAUUCAAGAUAUUUAAAACCAUGUAAAUAUGUUUUCUCUAACUGUUCCGAUCUCAACAUCGGUAAUUUUCGUAUAUGUGACACAAUAUGAUUGGUCAGAUUUUAAAACUCUUCCGUACUGUUCUCUGAUUGGUCAACAAUAUUUCACCCACGCCAUUUUGAAAAUUCUUCCCGGGACGUGUUGAGAAAGCUGGAGGUGAUUUUGAAUAAACUCUCAUUUGCUCGCGAGUAAAAUGGAUUGAAAAACAGAAGUGCAGCAUAAUAAUGGUACACAGGAUCAUAUAUAUGAACCAAGGAAAGCAAAUACAUAAGGAGACUGACGUUUUUUAGGCAUCAUAUCUGGACUUUUCUGGUGUAAACAACGACAGUUGCGUCAGCAGAACAUUGAAGAAAAGCUGAUUAGUCAUGGAGGAAGAAGAUCCCUCUCAAGAAAGUAUUGCAGUGAUGAAGUCAGAUGAGAUGACAGGUUUUGUGAUUUGAAGAUGGACUUCUGCAACAAAGUAAACACUCCUCUACCUUUUCCAUACAAAAGAAACAGCAAAGCAGAGAGAUCGAAACAUGUGGUAAAAAUACAAAGAAAACAGGAUUAGUUAAACUUGUGAAAAAUAUCAAGACUAUUGAAGAGCAGAUUAUAUGUAAAAAGAAAGACUACAAUUGGUAGCUGAAUCAGUAGCCUGGCCACAUUAAUUACUUUUUAAUUAGCUAU